rnacentral:rRNA from 1 species
AACGUACGCUGGCGGCACGCCUAACACAUGCAAGUCGAACGCAGUAGCAAUACUGAGUGGCAGACGGGUGAGUAACAUGUGGGAAUCUGCCUUGUGGUUCAGGACAACAUUGGGAAACCGAUGCUAAUACUGGAUAAGCCCUUAUGGGGAAAGUUUUAAUGCCAUAAGAUGAGCCCGCAUUUGAUUAGUUAGUUGGUGAGGUAAUGGCUCACCAAGACAAUGAUCAAUAGCUGAUCUGAGAGGAUGAGCAGCCACACUGUGACUGAGACACGGCCCAGACUCCUACGGGAGGCAGCAGUGGGGAAUCUUGCACAAUGGAGGAAACUCUGAUGCAGCGAUGCCGCGUGAGUGAAGAAGGCCUUUGGGUUGUAAAGCUCUUUUGUAGGGGAAGAUAAUGACUGUACCCUAAGAAUAAGGUCCGGCUAACUUCGUGCCAGCCGCCGCCGUAA